AUAUAUCUUUGCGGUUUUAAUUUUCAGAAGAACUAGUUCAAAACAAAAGGGUGGACUUACAUCUACAUUCAUUUAAAUGGAACAUUAUUCGAGUCACAAAGAAGGGACGGUUACCGCUUCACCGACCAUAUUAAAGACCUUCAACGGGCCUUUACUAGGGCCAAAAAUAAAACUUACAAGGCUAAAAGUAUGGCCAAAAAAAUGAGAGAGGACGAAAACGGCCAGGAGUAAUACAAUAAGUUUUAAAGCAUGUAUAUAUUAAAAAAAAUUAAAUAAAUAAAAAUUGGAAUUGAAAAAAGAAA